CGUAUUCGGGGGUUAUAUUCAGAGGUCAUAUUCAACAGCGUCUCAUCGACGCUAUCGUCAAUCGUUAUGUUCAAAAUUGGUGAAAGUGUCUCAUUGGUGCUUUUCUCGUCGCGGUCACAUGACUCGUAUUACUGCGCGAUACGCAGUAUUGCGCCGCCAUUUGUAAUGGCCUUAUGUUUACGCGGGAAUAACAACGGUCGAGUGAUGCAUGCUCAGCACAGUUCAUUAUGAUUGAUCAGAGACAUUUGGUAUACGAUUGAACGUUUAAACAACAGUGUUUUGCGUAAUUGUUGUACAUACAAGAUGUGCUUUGAUCGAGUGUGCAGGUUAUAUGAGUCGUUUCGUACGGUGUCGAUUACUCACGAUGUAGAGGUUAUGAAUCGUGAAACUAAACGACCGAUGCAUAUUUUGCUUUUGCGAAUGUGCAAAUGCGAACGAAAUUUACGUUAAAGAUCUUUGGCUGCGGAUUUGAUGCAGGUUGGGAUCUUCACAAACUUACAAAUUAGACUAAUGCCUCAGGUUUUGUUAUAAAAAUAUUUUAAUAUACAAAUCCUGUAUAUUAAAACUUUUGAAAGCUUAAAAAAAAGCUUGAUUAUAGCACAUCAGUGAUUAAGUCAAUGAUCAAAGGGAUACGAUGGGAAAACAAUUAUAUAAUUCAGGAUAUUGAAGCAAACUAUCAUUAGCAUUUAAAAGCAGUCUCGAACAAUGCUGUUUAAACAACAAGAUAGUAUUACAAACACAUACAGUUGUUAGUUAGGAGGCUGCGAUACAGAUAGAAAAAUUUGAAAACAGAAUCUUUGCAGUAAACUUUCUUUACAUCUCGGAAAUAACUUCACAUAAUCUCAGAAUAAAGAGAUCGAGGACACACGACAUAUACCGCAAGGAAGCCUUGGAGCCAUUGGAUGAUAAAGGAUAAACUACGAAUAUUCCUUGAAAUAAAAGUCUAACAACGAGAGGAAUUCAAUAUCUAUCGUCGCCGAUUUAUAACAAAAUAAACGAACCGCAGCCGGUUCGUCGCGUCGCGCGUUUUUUUCCGGGAGUGCCGUUUAAGUUAUCGGACUAAUAGACUUUUUUUUUCUAUAACUCCCAUUUGAUAAACUCCUAGUUCGAGGGCCGGGAAUCGCACCCCCGCUGCUUGGCAGUGGAUAUCUUCUCUCUGGGGCGUUGCGUAUGGUGGCUAAGAAAGACGGCGCACCGCGACGUUCCAUGCCGAGUGCCCGUGCACGAAGUAAUGCCGGGCCGCGUUAUAGCAUGUUUCCCCUGUGUGCAUGUUGCGCGGUUGUCUGGUUGUGUGAGGUUUACACGCUCUGUCUUCGGCGAUCGGUUCGGUCCUAAGUGGUAAGAGUUCGGAUCAGUUGCCUUGGAUUCGCACGUUUCUCUUGCUCUCAUCCACCUAAGGCUUUCUUAGAUCCUUGAUACCCUUUUUGGAUUCUUUGGAUCUGGGGUUUGAGCUAGUGAAUCACAUUUAAUCUGACUUGGUCAGAACUUGGCCUUGUAGGUUAAGCUUGUGACGAGAGGCUGGCUCUCAUUUCCUGAUUCGUCUAAAAUGCUAGACGUCGGCAAUGAGUACCUUCUUCUCUCGUCCUGCCCGAGUGUCUUGUCGACGCCGCUUGGAUAUAAGAUCCAGUGGGACUGAUUAAGAUGAUCCGUUGGCUGGGCCUAUGAACGAGUCAAUUUUAGACGUAAUUUUUGUGAGACAAGAGGCGUAGGAAUUCAAUACCAUUGAUUUCGUUUUCUUCCGCGCGGGGCUUACCCUCUUUCGGGGGGCAGGUACGCGUGCGUCCUACUCGUCGACUCGGGGUGCUGAAUCCACGGGAAUCCCUCUGAAUGGGAACUCAUAUCAUGGGUUUUAUAAACCCGAAGUGCCGCAGUAUUGCGCGAAAAACUUUAUAAAUAAUUAGUCCACGCGCGCAAAUUUAGUAUAUUAUUCGCGAGUGUUUCGCGUGUGCAAUGAAAGGAAAAGGCUUAACUACCUGGAGGACUGAGAGGAGGAGGAGGCCUGGGAGGCAUCGGGCGUCGGCGUAUCAACCUUUCAAUUAACAUCAUGGGAUCUGCGAGGAGGAGGAGACAUCAGGCGAGGUGGAGCAACCUUGAGGAAGAAGAUGCAUCGAGACGUGCACGAAGCUACUCCAGUUCUCUGAUUACGGAUUUCUGGCAGAGCAGCAAAGUUCUUGACGCAACGACGGCUGAGAGGAGAACGGCGGAACAACGGAUGGGCAUCCAAAGGCGGGAGGUUGGACGAGCCUUGGAGAUAGAUGGCAGACUUUCGUGGUGCGCGCCCACAUAGCAGCAAUGUAAGUCAUGCUUCUUUAUGGGGCGGCCCGUGACCCCGCUACUUGUAAACCGACUAAAGAUUCAGAAAUAGCUGCGGCACGGUUACGAGCUCCCCGUCCGCGUUCUCUUCUCUGCCCCCCUAUCAUCGCUUUAUCCUUACGGCACGCUCUCGCGUAUACUCGUAUAUACUCGCGUUCUCGAUCAUCCUCAUUGU